AUACUGAAAACGAAGAACACCGUGCAGUUUGCACAGUUGGAUCUUAAGAUCCGUUCUGUAGAUAUCGGGCUGUUUUUCUUUCAUUUGAUUUCAUGUAUGUGUAGUCACUCUGGCUUGUUUUGCACUGAGCACAAAUGCUCUUGUGUUCUUUUUUCUGUAUCCACUUAUGCAUUUUUUGUUUGUUUCUUUGUCUGCUGGGCAAGAUGGCAGGUGUUUUGGAAAAGGGCUAUUUAUUUUAUUUCAUGCGCUUGGCAUAAGUGGGCCAUCAAACUCAGAACAUAUGCAAGAUGGUGGUUCAGUGGUUACGUUCUGGUUCCAGGCUGCACAGAACAAUCCUGGGGCUAUCAGCAGUGCUGGAAAGGGAGAGGGAAAGGAGAGUAGAUGAUGAUUCCAGAAGUUUCCCUAUCUGCUGGUGGUACCUCUUAGACCUGCUAACCAUAAGAGUCCAGCAAAGGGUCAUCUGAUUGCUGGAGAGGUGUUGCAGCGUUAUUCAUCAGCUAAGGUAAGAGUGUUCUUUCCCAGUUAACCAGGUGGUUCUGUCAUUUGACACCAAAGUUUUAUGCAUUGACAUGUGCUGUCCUGUGUCUUGGUUUAGAAGGCAGUCAAGAGACCUCAGUUCUUUCAAAUAAAUGGCUGAGCUUGGAGCACUGUGGCUUGAUGUUCCUAAAGCUGCUAAUCCUAAUUAACAGCUUUUCUGAGUCCAUUUUAUACCACUCUAUAACAGCCCAAGUGGGCUUUAAAGUGAAUGGAAAUGACCCCAUGGAGAGCCCUCUCUGGAGAUGUUGCUAUGCCGACCUGCUUACAGCAGCUAUUAAAGUUUCGGUUGCUCUCUCCCAUCCUGCAGUGCUGUUACUGUCAUAUGUGCUCAGAUGGUUCCAGAAUUGUGUCUCGGAUGGAUGGGGCCUGGUCUCAAUUAUUUGUUUUUCUGGAAGACAUGGGGAAAAGAGGGAAAAAAGGGUAAUAAGGUAACAUCAUGUCAGGCAAUAAUAUAAAGAGUCUGCAACAGCAGCAGGGAAAAAAAAAUAGCUGCACAAACCUCAGAUUCCUCUGGAGAGGGAAAAAAAAAAAAGGUCAAUUUUCUUUUCCCACAACCCUUUCAAAAAACAUUUUUUU
ensembl:lncRNA